UGGAGUGUAGCUCAGUGGUAGAGCACUUUCAUAGCGUGUGUGAGGACUUGGGUUCAAUGCUCAGCACUACAA
rfam:Ictidomys tridecemlineatus contig083433, whole genome shotgun sequence.